AUUGAACGCUGGCGGCAGGCCUAACACAUGCAAGUCGAACGGUAGCACAGAGAGCUUGCUCUCGGGUGACGAGUGGCGGACGGGUGAGUAAUGUCUGGGAAACUGCCUGAUGGAGGGGGAUAACUACUGGAAACGGUAGCUAAUACCGCAUAACGUCGCAAGACCAAAGAGGGGGACCUUCGGGCCUCUUGCCAUCAGAUGUGCCCAGAUGGGAUUAGCUAGUAGGUGGGGUAACGGCUCACCUAGGCGACAAUCCCUAGCUGGUCUGAGAGGAUGACCAGCCACACUGGAACUGAGACACGGUCCAGACUCCUACGGGAGGCAGCAGUGGGGAAUAUUGCACAAUGGGCGCAAGCCUGAUGCAGCCAUGCCGCGUGUAUGAAGAAGG
rnacentral:rRNA from 1 species